rnacentral:snoRNA from 1 species
UCAUCCAAUGAUGAAAGUUUGUCAUGAACCAAGGAUUAUGAUUAAUCUAUUUCUGUACACUUGAGUACAAUU